rnacentral:tRNA from 2 species
AACUCGCUCCCCAAGCGGGAUUGGGACCUGUAUAGAGUACUUGACUUGUAAUCAGGGGGUGGCGGGUUCAAGUCCUGCAGCCAGCACCA